rnacentral:rRNA from 1 species
UGCCAGCCGCCGCGGUAAUACGGGCGGAGCAAGCGUUGUUCGGAUUUAUUGGGUGUAAAGGGUGCGCAGGCGGUCGUCUAAGUCAGAAGUGAAAUUUCUACGGCUCAACCGAGAAACUGCUUCUGAUACUGGUCGACUUGAGUGCGGAAGGGGAGUGUGGAAUUCCUGGUGUAGCGGUGAAAUGCGUAGAUAUCAGGAGGAACACCUGUGGCGAAGGCGACACUCUGGUCCGUAACUGACGCUCAUGCACGAAAGCCAGGGGAGCGAACGGGAUUAGAUA